rnacentral:lncRNA from 1 species
CAAUUCAGUAUCAAAAACAAUUAAAAGCAAUCAACAGUAAUAACAGAGGGAAAUUGAGGAAAUAUUAUUAUAAUAUUGUCAACUAGAGUUCAAACGGGAUCUAGCUGAUAGUACAAAGGGAAAUUUUGAAAGAAAUAGUAAAGAAAUAAGGGAAUGACACUUCGAGAGGCCAAAUCUCUCCUAGUAGUAGUGACUACAGAAAACUAUGCAUAAAAACAAUGACAGAGAACAUUCUGCUAUUUAAUCAAUUGGAUCCAGAUCUAUUUUCUCCUCCUUCGCUGAAUAAGGAAACAUUCCUACAAGGGAAUGAUUUGAUGUAUCCUUAUCCUUU